CUUGCUCAUCCAGUUGCUGCUGUAAGUACUCCUUCGACCUAGGGAAUCCUUUGAACCACCACCUCUGUCACUCAUCUGUUGUCACCUCGCGUAUCCGGUGGUCCACGCGAUUGCUAGAUGGAUGGACACGUGAUUCUCAACACACAAGGGGUUCUUGAUUCAGCGGUUGCACCUGCAAAAGGCAUCCGGACAGGGUGUCCGGACGCACCCUCCGAUGGUUUUGUUAGCCAUGGUGAAAGAGAGAUACAUAAAUCAGUUGACCUUUUACUAGGUAUCAAGAGGUUACCAGGGGAUCUCCCCCUUCUUCUUCGUGUGAAGGCAUAUAUAUACAGCUUCAGGGGUACUGCUCCUUUCAUUAAUGGUGAGGAGAUAUUUUAUGUUUGUGAUGAUGAUAAUAGGUGUCAGUAGGAGCACUAUCAUCCUACGAAUGGCUGUCAGAGACCAUGGUAGGUGAUGCGGCUGUCAAAGAUCGUGGGAAGUGAUUAUGUAGAAUGAUCGUGGGAAGUGACUUGUUGUCACUUCCUCUUGUCUUCUCAUUCUGCAGGUGAUGGGAUGUGGGCCAUGGCUGCUUGUUGUGAUUGCGUGUAAGACUCGCUUUACUUUAAUUGACCAUCCAGACGAUUUAUAUCCGGAUGGCUCAUGCUGAUUAUCCGGACGUGUUGUGGAGACUAUCCGGAUGUCUACGCUCUGCCAGCGUCGUUUGCUCUUCCUUGGAUAGGAGAAACUGAAACGUCGUUUCCCUUUUCUUGAGGGGGUCCGGAUAGGAUAACUGCACCAUGCAUAUCUUUAGGGGAAUCCGGAUGAUGAUGGUCCGGCUGAUAAUACGUGCCACGCGUUACCAUGAGCUGCGUGCCACGUGUUUCCCAAGGGGAGGGGUCCCUACAUUGCCCCCCUUUUUAACUUGCCUAUUUUGCCCGAAAAAAUGGGCGGGUUAAAAAUAACUGACUUUUGAAAAUUGAAGAGGUCCCUUCGUUUGACUGGGCCACGUGGCGAGUGGGGGUGCGGAAGCCAAAAAAGGCAUUUAUGACGAGCCGCCGACCUUGUGUAUCCCCAGGCAAUAUGUCGUUUCAAUGAUAACAUGGCUGUUGGUUUGGCUUUCCGAGGGGCUGUCCUGCUAUAAAUAGGGCACUGUACCUCUUUUUGCAUUUUUUCUACUGCAUUCUCUUGAUAGCCUUUUUUCUUUAUUGGUUUUUUCUUCGCCCUUUGCUUCUCUGAGAAAAAACUUCGAAAGUUCUUUUGUACCGGUGUUUUUGUAUCGCGACUUCGUUUGUUUGCUGCUGGUGAUUUUGUACCGAGAUAGUAACCGUUCUUCUUCUUCAGAGCUUUAUUUGGUAAGUACUUCUUUGCUACUGUCAUUCGUUUGGUUGCGUUUGCUGGUUGUUUAAACUUGGUUUCUGGCUUGCUUUGGGUUAGGGUUUGUGUAUUUUCUGACUGCUUGGUUUGAACCGUUGCAUUGCUUUUGUAUGUAGAUUUUGGUUUGGCUUUGUGGUAAGAAAUGGCUCCAAAAAAGACUGUUUCAUCUGCCCGGGUCAACGAGGCUGGUGAAAAGGCGAUAGACAAAUUAGAUGUGAAGGAAUUUCGGGAGCGGUUCUCCAUCCCAAAUGGCGUAUCUAUAGAAUUGGUGAACGAGGAGGCGGCUAUGCCUACUGAGAAAGGUGAAGAAAACGUUAUCCUCUUCACAAAGGAACAAUUCAACGCAGGGCUCCGGUUCCCUCUGCCGGCGUUGUUCAAGGAAUUCCUCCACUUCUCCCAGAUUCCACCCAUCUUCAUUCAUCCCAACCUUGUCCGGGUGCUGAUGGGAUGCAGCAUCAUCAACAUGCUGUAUAGCCUCGACCUUACGCUACUGGAAGUGUUCUUUGUCUAUUCCCUGAAGAAGGCAAAGAAUGAUAUCUUCAGUGUGUCCGCUCACCUGCCCUCCCUUCAAAUGGUGACAGAGCUGCCAGAUUCGACAAAGGGAGGGGCGAAGGGGCUGGUGGCGGUCCGGGGUGUAUGGGCGGGGCUAUCGCAGUGUGCGUCGAGGCCUUUUUCUCCAAAUUAUACCUUAAAAAUUCUGGGUAAUCUUGUUUUGCGAUUCUUUGUCCGGUUUUUACUUUGCUGAUUUUUUUUGCUGAUUUUCUCGGACGAAACUCUCACAUUUUGUUACUGUUAAUGCAGGUCUGGAAUUGAGGGGCCACCUUGUGGAUUGGGUGAAAAAGGCGUCCUUCGCCUGUGUUUGCAAAUUAUUCGAGAUAGAUCCCAAGGAGAGGGCCUACAAGACCUUGCUUUCCGCGCGGAAUUUGAUAGCGGUCGUCCGGGAGUCCCAGGAAUAUGUUAUCAAUAUUCUCCCCAGGAAACUAGCAAAGGAUGAGAUAGUACCUGGGGAGCAUUAUACUCUGAAGGAGCUCCCCCUGUACCAGGAAGCUAAAGAGGCUGAUGGUGAAAGACGGCGAAAGCUUCUGGAGGAUCGAGAUCAGAAAAAAAAUGAAGGCACUAUCCGGAAGGCUCCCGGACAGAAGCGGGGUCCGGACUCUCCUCCCAAGAAAACUCCAGUAAAAAGGAGGAAGCUGGUGAAGAAGCAUGGGAAGGAUGUGAAGGAACCCACUCCUCCCAAGGAGUUUCCUCCCCCGCAAAUUACCUAUGAGGGGGAAGUAAUGAUAGAGGAGCCAGUAAACGCUGCUUCACACUCUAUCUCAAGCGGCCCCGGACGCAUGUCGGGGUUGAAUCAUUCGGGCCCUUCCUUAGCCGCGGCUGCGCGUCUGGCUAACGUGGCUGAGGAAGCUGCAUCUAUCAACCGUCCGGGCAACCUUAAUCCGGAUGCUGAUGCAGCUGAAACGGCCCCGUUGGAGGAAGCGGGGGCAGAAAGCCAAAGUUAGCCUUCCGACGACCCGGAUCGCUUGGCCAUAGUCCUGGUGAAAGGGCCUCCUCCAAAGAAGCAGCGUUCGACGCGCGAUCUACGGUCCAGACUCCUUGGGCGGCUUUAGGAGCGGCAGCAAGAGAUUGAAGUUAGCUGCGCUUCUGCUCAUGACGCUCAUCCGAAUGGAGGCGAGGUGGAAAUGGCAACUGAGACCUCGGCCGCCCCGGUAAUAAUUCCGGCUGAAGAUGUAUCCGGACAGAUGCGUCCGGACGAAGAUGUGGAGGUCCCGAAUCCGGGACAAGAGUCACCUUCUGUUUCCUCAUCUGAGGAGGAACCUGCUGACGAUGCAGCUCCUGCUAGCCCUUUCAGCUACGUAGAGUUGGAAGUUAAGCUAAAGCAGAUUACACCCGACUGGAAAGCCAUCAAGCCCUCUGCUAAGAUGUUUGAUAUGAUAGAAACGGUAUAUCGUUGUCUUGUGUUUUUGCUUUUUGACUUUUUGUUGCACUGAUGUGUUUGUUGUAGUAUGAUUUAUGUCUUUGCUUUUCUUGUUUGCGUGUCAGCUGGUGAGGGGCCUCCGCAGCAUGUCUCAACAACACGAUCUUUUUACUCAGCUGCUGCAGACUGCAGACUAUAUGAGGACCUUCUCCUCUCGGCGCCAAGAGAUUGAAAAUCAGCUGCGUCUGAGAAUGGAGGAGGCUGAGGCCAAUUUAUCCACCAUGCGAGAAGAAAAUGAAGCCCUCCGAGCGGAGUUGGCUGAGGCGAAGAGUCGCGAAGAAUCAACUGUGGGUCGCCUACAUGAGGCGGAAGGUGAGGCAGCCCGGCUGAGGGAUGAAGUGAGUCAACUCCGGACCGAAGUUUCGAAUGAAAAGAAACAGAAGGAAGACUUGCAGCUGCGCCUGGAUGUGCAAAAAGAGGAACUUGAACGGGAGUUUGCUGUGGAAAGGGAGGAACUUGCAGCGGACUAUCAGCAUCAAGUGGAUGAUACGUUUAUCUUUGGGUAUCGCUGCUGCAUGAAGAAGAACGGCAUCAAGCGAGAUACCCCUUCAAUUCCUCCGGGUGAAGAAAAGAAGCUCUAUGAGAAGCCCGCUCCUUGAUAGUUAUUUCUUUUUGCAAUUUUUCUGCUGUAAUUUUUCCUUCUGUCUUUUUGUGGUCCGGAGAUCUCUUUGUAAUUAUACUUAUUCAUAUCAAUAAAAACAUACUUCUUUCUCAUUUUGCACUUGUGUACACUUUUUAUUGAUAGUACUGCUUUAAAUUGGACACAUUCCAUGGUCUAAGUAAUGGAGUGCCAUCUAGCUUUUGUAAAUGAUAGGCUCCAUUUUUGUUUGCCUUAGACACUAUGUAGGGUCCUUCCCAAUUGGCUUGGAACUUUCCAGCGCCUACUUCAGUAGUAUUUUCAAAAACUUUUCUAAGUACUAGCGUACCAUUUUUGAAUUUUCUGGGCCUGACUUUUCGAUUGUAAUGCGCUGAUGCCCUUUGUUGAUAAUCUGCCAUCCGGAUGGCCGCGCUUUCUCUGACUUCGUCUGCCCAGUCCAAAUUUCUUCCUAGUUCCGUGUUGGCAUCUUUUUGUUUUGCUGCAUCGGUCCGGGUAGUAGGAAGACCUAUUUCAGUGGGAAUGACUGCAUCCAUUCCAUAUGUGAGGGCGAAAGGAGUGUUUCCUGUCGGCCGUCCGGGUGUGGUUCGAUAGGCCCACAGGACGCCGGGUAGCUCCUCUACCCACUUCCCUUUGGCUUGCUCGAGCCUUUUCUUUAAGGCAUUGAUUAGAGUUUUGUUUGUGGCUUCUGCCUGCCCAUUGCUUUGAGGAUAGCGUGGCGUGGAGUAUAAAUUCCGGAUAUUUAGUUCCGAAUAGAAAUUCCUGAAUGCAAUGUUGUCAAAUUGUGGACCAUUGUCAGCUAUGAUGAUUUGGGGAAUUCCAAAGCGGCAAACAAUGUUCUUCCAUACGAAUUUGGUGACAUCUUUAUCUUUGAUGCUUGCAUAUGCUUCAGCUUCUACCCAUUUACUGAAGUAAUCAGUGGCGACAAGGAGGAAUUUCUUCUGGGCAGGUGCUGCUGGGAGGGGUCCCACUAUGUCCAUGCCCCACUGCGCGAAAGGCCAUGGGCCCGAGACCGAUUUCAAUGCUGCUGAUGGCAUGUGUGGAAUGGGAGCGUAUCUUUGACAUUUAUCACACUUUUGGACAUAUGCUGCUGCGUCUUUCUUCAUUGUUGGCCAAUAGUAUCCCUGUGAAUGAGCUCUAUGUGCCAGGGAUCGUCCUCCCGUAUGAUUUCCGCAUAUUCCUUCAUGUAAUUCAGCUAGCACAUACUGGGCUUCUGAAUGCCCAAGACAGCGAAGAUAAGGCCCUGUGAAGGAUCGCUUGUACAGGUGCCCCCCGAUCAGGGUGAAAGGGGCAGCUUGCACCCAGAUUUUGUGUGCUUGUUUAGGAUCUUCGGGUAAAGUGCCUGCCCGGAGAUAUUCUGCAAUAUUAUGCGUCCAUUCUUGAUCAUCCGUUUGGUUUGCCUCAAUGGUGUUGCAAGUGGAAUCUUCUGUGAUAGAGGGAUUGGCUUGCACAUGUAUGGGCAGUAGAAUGGCUUCUUUGAUAGGGAGGGAGGCAGCUAUGCCGGCCAAAACGUCAGCAUGCCUAUUGUCAGCUCGCCUAAUUUUUUCGAUUGUCCACUCGGUGAAUUGCUAUAAGGUGCUUCUUACUUUGGCCAAGUAUCGCGCCAUGCGUGCGUCCUUAGCCUCAUAUUCUUUCUGGACGUGCCUUACCACUAGUUGCGAGUCGCUGUAGAUCCGGAGUUUGGAGACGGAUAGAGCAAGGGCGAGGUCCAAUCCGGACAGGAUGGCCUCGUAUUCUGCUUCAUUGUUAGACGCGGAGAAUCCCAGCCGGAUGGCUUGCUCCAGAUGUUCCCCAGUUGGGGACUGUAGUAAGAGCCCAACUCCAGAGCCUGAUGAGCGUGAGGCUCCGUCAACUCGUAGUGUCCACCACUCCUGUUCACUUGAUUCGUGGUGCUGGUUGGGUCUUCGUGAAUAUUCGAGCACAAAGUCGGCCAUUACUUGGCCUUUUUUGGAUAAUCUGGGUUGGAAUUCGAUUCCAAAUUCGCUCAAUUCGAUGGCCCAUUGUAGCAUUCGCCCAGUUAAAUCUGGUUUGUGCAGAAUGCUACGAAGGGGUUGGUCGGUCAGUACAAUCACUGGGUGGGCUUGAAAAUAGGGGCGGAGCUUUUGGGCAGCACUUCGAAGAGCUAAGGCUGUUAGCUCCAUUUUUGAAUACCUGGUUUCUAUAUCUGCCAAUGCCCUGCUGACAUAGUAGACGGGUUUCUGCUCCUUUGGUGAAGGGCAGCGGAAUAGAACGGCGCUGAUUGCCCAUUCUGAGACAGCUAGAUACAUGUAUAGCUUCUCCUUUGGGAUGGGGCUGCUCAAGAUGGGUGGAUGCAUAAGACAAUGUUUAAUUCUUUCCAACGCGUUUUGGCAAUUGUCCGUCCACCCCUGCGUUCCAGCUUUUCGUAUCGCCAAGAAGAAGGGUCGCAACUCAUCAGUGAAGCGGGCUAUGAAACGUCCUAACGCAACAAGCUUGCCUGUGAGGCGUUGUAACUCCUUUUUGUUCCUGGGAGGAGGUGUCUCCAUGACUGCUUUGACCUGAUCCGGGCUGACUUCUAUGCCUCUUUGGCUGACCAUAAAUCCCAGAAAUUUGCCAGCACUCACGCCAAAGGCACAUUUGGAAGGAUUUAGCUUCAUGCCAUACUUUCGCAAGAGAUAAAAACCUUCUUGUAAAUGGAAGAUAUGCUGCUCUCGAGUUUUGCUUUUAACUACGAUAUCGUCAAUGUAUACUUCGACCGAGCGGCCUAUCAGAGGUUUGAAGAUUUUAGUCAUCAAUCUUUGAUACGUGGCGCCAGCGUUUUUGAGUCCGAAUGGCAUGACUUUGUAGCAAUAGAGGCCGUGUGGCGUUAUGAAUGCUGUUUUUUCUUCGUCAUCCGGGGACAUGGGGAUUUGGUGAUAUCCGGAUAAGGCAUCCAAGAAAGAGAGCAUCCCCUGUCCGGAAGUGGAAUCCACAAUCUGAUCUAUUCGCGGUAAGGGGAAACUGUCUUUUGGACACGCAUUGUUGAGAUUGGUGUAAUCUACACAAACUCGCCAUUUUCCUUCUUUUUUGGGUACCACGACUACGUUUGCCAGCCAAUCCGGAUAAGAAACUUCUCUGAUGAAUCCGGCUUCGAGCAAUUUAUCAAUCUUGUUCCGGAUGAUUCUUUGUCUAUCCGGGUGGAAGCGCCUAAUCCUCUGCCGGACGGGUCUGGCAGUUAAAAAGACGUUAAGCCUGUGAGAUGCAAUGGAGGGAUGAAUUCCCUUCAUGUCAGAAUGUGCCCACGCGAAGAUGUCGUGGUUCUGUCUGAGGAUUUUUUGCAUGCCCUGAGUUUCUUCUUGUGUCAUGAGGGAACUGAUGUUUGUGAGGUGAUCGCUUUCCUCCGCAAUUUGGAUUGUUUGUAAGGGAUCUGCUACCGGGGGAUCUUUGUCCGCCGGACCCAAUAAUUGCUAUUGGUCGUGUGCAAUGCUAGGUUCAGGGGGAGAUGCAUCCUCCUGGUUAGCGACUGCUUCACGUGCUAUUUGAUAGCACUGGCGAGCGGCUAACUGGCUGCCAUACAAGUCAGUUUGCCCUUCGUCGGUGAGGAAACUCACCAUUUGAUGAUAUGUGGAAGGGAUGGCUUUCAUGUAGUGAAGCCAUGUGCGUCCCAAGAUGACAUUGAAGGGUGAUAACUCUUGUACCACUGAGAAUUGCACGUUGAGAGUGACUGGGCCAGCUUGGACCGGCAGUAUAAUGUCUCCUAAGGACGUGGUUGAUGAUCCGUUGAAUCCGGAUAAGAUUCGUCCGGGGUUUUCGAGACCCGCGAGACUAUGUCCCAUAUGGCCAAUGACUGAUGCUUGCACCAGAUCGGCUGAACUGCCUGGGUCAACCAAGAUACGUCUUACAUCGAAAUCUCCUAUUUCUAGGGAGAGGAUGAGGGCGUCGCGAUGUGGCUGUAGCGUCCGGGUGGGAUCUACUGGUGGGAAAAUGAUUGUCCCAUCUAUGGGGCGAGGGCCCUCUCCAGUAAGACCCGGCCAAAUGGAAUUAAUGCGUUCGCGUAUUGACGCGGCUCGCAGCAAUUUCUGCCUUUUCCGCCUGGAAUCGUAUUCCUCGUCAGACGGGCCCCCAUUGAUAUAGUUUAUGACAGCCUUGGGGGCGACUGGGGCCCUUGGGGCCCCAGAGUUAUGAUGUUGAGAUACGUCCCUUCCUCCAGUAUCUGAGCGGAUGUACUGUUUUAAAUGUCCUGCUUUGAUGAGUUUUUCAACUAGAUAUUGGAGGGAUCGACAUGUCUCUGUUGUAUGACCAUGGUCUUUGUGGAAGGCGCAUUUCUUGCUGCGGUCUCUCAUGGAUGGGUCCGUUUCGAGGGGUCUAGGCCACCUGAAGUCGGACAACUCUUGGAUCAUUGGAAGAAGUUUUUCGUAUGAUACGGAUAGGGGUGUGAUGGGCGGCCUAUCCGGACGACUCGGCCCGUCCUGCCUCCGGUCAACUGGUUUUGGCCGGUCUGGAGGUUUGGCAUGUCUGUCCGCAUUUUCUUUAGAAGCCCGUCCGGCAACCAAAACUUGCUGAGUGGCUGCACGCACGUCAUCUUCGAGCAUUGAAUAUUUGUUAGCACGUUUGAACAAAUCGUCCAUCGUUGUAGGAGGCUUUUUGGCCAGCGAUUCGAAAAAUGGAGUGCCUGGACAAAUGCUUCUCUUGAAGAUUUGUAGGACAACAUCCAUGCUGCAAACCUCUAUUUGAAGUACGGCUUGGCCAAAUCGUUUCACAAAUUCCCUUAAGGAUUCGUUGUCUUUCAUUUUUAUAUUCUGGAGGGUGCUGAUAUUCUGCUUGUGUCGAGCAGAGCACAAAUACUGUCCCACGAAUGCUUCAGAGAGGUCCCUGAAAUUGUCAAUAGAGUUAGGAGGUAGGCGAUGAAACCAUGAGAGGGCCUGCCCUUUAAGGCUGGCGGGGAAUACUUUGCAUAGCAAUGCAUCGUUGCCAAUAUCGAGCGUCAUAAGCUGUCGAUAGUGCAUGAUGUGAUCGAAGGGAUCGUUGGUCCCAUCGUAUGUGGAAAACUUUGGUACGAGGAAUCCCCUUGGGGGCUCGUAAUGGGUGAUAUGAGGGCAAAAGGGCGUGGAGAGCAUGUCAUCCAGCCUUUUGCUGAUGGAGCCAAUGGGUGGCUCGUUUGGGAGGUUUCUCCCAGCUGGUCGUUCCGCUAGGUGUGAGUGAACGUUCCGCAUCGCUGGGGUGACCAUGGGGUCACGAUGUGGAGGUACGUUCUGCACCAUGGGAGCGAUCAUGGGAUCGGGGCGUGGUGCCCGAGUUGUGGCUACUGGUGGCCUUGAUUUCCCAGGCUCUUGUGGGCCUAGUCUUGCGCGCAUAGAACUUGACAACUGUGAUUUUCUAUCACGUUGUCUUUUUGCUGAAAAAUGAGUGGAAUCUGAGCUUUCCUCACGGGGAGCUCGAGGCAUGGGUGUGUGUGGCUCAUGGGGCCUUGCGUUGUAUGCUCCUGGGACAGCUCCUGUUGACCCAGGAUAUAUUGAUUCUGGCUCUGGCCUUGAGUUUGCCACCUGGCCUCUUGAACGCUGAUGCCGAGGAGGACCUGACGUUGAGGCUUGAAUGCGUAACACAACGUUUUCUUCCCUUAACCUCUCCGUCUCCUGGAGGAGAGCUCUCAGCUGUUUUUCACUCGCCAACUGUCUUUUUUCGAUGGCUUGAAGCCAUUCGUGAUUAUCUUCCUCCUCUCUACCAGAUGAUCGACUUUGGGAAGGUGUGGCCAUCUUUGCUAGUGACUGAAUCAAAAUAAAAAGUAAAAAUUUUCCCACAGACGGCGCCAAUGUUGUCACCUCGCGUAUCCGGUGGUCCACGCGGUUGCUAGAUGGAUGGACACGUGAUUCUCAACACACAAGGGGUUCUUGAUUCAGCGGUUGCACCUGCAAAAGGCAUCCGGACAGGGUGUCCGGACGCACCCUCCGAUGGUUUUGUUAGCCAUGGUGAAAGAGAGAUACAUAAAUCAGUUGGCCUUUUACUAGGUAUCAAGAGGUUACUAGGGGAUCUCCCCCUUCUUCUUCGUGUGAAGGCAUAUAUAUACAGCUUCAGGGGUACUGCUCCUUUCAUUAAUGGUGAGGAGAUAUUUUAUGUUUGUGAUGAUGAUAAUAGGUGUCAGUAGGAGCACUAUUAUCCUACGAAUGGCUGUCAGAGACCAUGGUAGGUGAUGCGGCUGUCAGAGAUCGUGGGAAGUGAUUAUGUAGAAUGAUCGUGGGAAGUGACUUGCUGUCACUUCCUCUUGUCUUCUCAUUCUGCAGGUGAUGGGAUGUGGGCCAUGGCUGCUUGUUGUGAUUGCGUGUAAGACUCGCUUUACUUUAAUUGACCAUCCAGACGAUUUAUAUCCGGAUGGCUCAUGCUGAUUAUCCGGACGUGUUGUGGAGACUAUCCGGAUGUCUACGCUCUGCCAGCGUCGUUUGCUCUUCCUUGGAUAGGAGAAGCUGAAACGUCGUUUGCCUUUUCUUGAGGGGGUCCGGAUAGGAUAACUGCACCAUGCAUAUCUUUAGGGGAAUCCGGAUGAUGAUGGUCCGGCUGAUAAUACGUGCCACGCGUCACCAUGAGCUGCGUGCCACGUGUUUCCCAAGGGGAGGGGUCCCUACAUCAUCGUCAUCCAUGGCCUCUCAAUUCAACCCUGCCCCAUUUCAUAGCUUAUCGACCUCAAUUCAAUCGAUUAUGCUCAUUUCAUCCUUCACCAAACCUCUUAUCCCACUGAUUUCUCUUGGAACUCCUUUAUCAAAGCUAGCACCCUCCAAAACUCUCCACAGAAUUCCUU
rnacentral:lncRNA from 1 species